rnacentral:rRNA from 1 species
UUAGAGUUUGAUCCUGGCUCAGGAUGAACGCUAGCGGCAGGCUUAACACAUGCAAGUCGAGGGGCAGCGAGAUCAGUGCUUGCACUGAUUGUCGGCGACCAGCGCACGGGUGCGUAACGCGUAUGCAACCUACCCAUUACAGGGGGAUAACACUGAGAAAUCGGUACUAAUACCCCAUAACAUCCAGGGAGGCAUCUUCUUGGGUUGAAAACUCCGGUGGUAAUGGAUGGGCAUGCGUUGUAUUAGUUAGUUGGUGGGGUAACGGCUCACCAAGACAACGAUACAUAGGGGGACUGAGAGGUUAACCCCCCACAUUGGUACUGAGACACGGACCAAACUCCUACGGGAGGCAGCAGUGAGGAAUAUUGGUCAAUGGACGCAAGUCUGAACCAGCCAUGCCGCGUGCAGGAAGACGGCUCUAUGAGUUGUAAACUGCUUUUGUACGAGGGUAAACGCAGAUACGCGUAUCUGUCUGAAAGUAUCGUACGAAUAAGGAUCGGCUAACUCCGUGCCAGCAGCCGCGGUAAUACGGAGGAUUCAAGCGUUAUCCGGAUUUAUUGGGUUUAAAGGGUGCGUAGGCGGUCGGAUAAGUUAGAGGUGAAAUCCCGGGGCUCAACUUCGGAAUUGCCUCUGAUACUGUUCGGCUAGAGAGUAGUUGCGGUAGGCGGAAUGUAUGGUGUAGCGGUGAAAUGCUUAGAGAUCAUACAGAACACCGAUUGCGAAGGCAGCUUACCAAGCUACUUCUGACGUUGAGGCACGAAAGCGUGGGGAGCAAACAGGAUUAGAUACCCUGGUAGUCCACGCAGUAAACGAUGAUAACUCGUUGUCGGCGAUACAGUGUCGGUGACUAAGCGAAAGCGAUAAGUUAUCCACCUGGGGAGUACGUUCGCAAGAAUGAAACUCAAAGGAAUUGACGGGGGCCCGCACAAGCGGAGGAACAUGUGGUUUAAUUCGAUGAUACGCGAGGAACCUUACCCGGGCUUGAAAGUUAGUGACGGAUCUUGAAAGAGGUCUUCCCUUCGGGGCACGAAACUAGGUGCUGCAUGGUUGUCGUCAGCUCGUGCCGUGAGGUGUCGGGUUAAGUCCCAUAACGAGCGCAACCCCUACCGUUAGUUGCCAGCAGGUCAAGCUGGGCACUCUGACGGGACUGCCGGUGUAAGCCGAGAGGAAGGUGGGGAUGACGUCAAAUCAGCACGGCCCUUACGUCCGGGGCUACACACGUGUUACAAUGGCAGGUACAGAGGGCAGCUACCCAGCGAUGGGAUGCGAAUCUCGAAAGCCUGUCUCAGUUCGGAUUGGAGGCUGAAACCCGCCUCCAUGAAGUUGGAUUCGCUAGUAAUCGCGCAUCAGCCAUGGCGCGGUGAAUACGUUCCCGGGCCUUGCACACACCGCCCGUCAAG